UAUGAACGCUGGCGGCGUGCCUAAUACAUGCAAGUCGAGCGAACGGACGAGAAGCUUGCUUCUCUGAUGUUAGCGGCGGACGGGUGAGUAACACGUGGAUAACCUACCUAUAAGACUGGGAUAACUUCGGGAAACCGGAGCUAAUACCGGAUAAUAUUUUGAACCGCAUGGUUCAAAAGUGAAAGACGGUCUUGCUGUCACUUAUAGAUGGAUCCGCGCUGCAUUAGCUAGUUGGUAAGGUAACGGCUUACCAAGGCAACGAUGCAUAGCCGACCUGAGAGGGGGAUCGGCCACACUGGAACUGAGACACGGUCCAGACUCCUACGGGAGGCAGCAGUAGGGAAUCUUCCGCAAUGGGCGAAAGCCUGACGGAGCAACGCCGCGUGAGUGAUGAAGGUCUUCGGAUCGUAAAACUCUGUUAUUAGGGAAGAACAUAUGUGUAAGUAACUGUGCACAUCUUGACGGUACCUAAUCAGAAAGCCACGGCUAACUACGUG
rnacentral:rRNA from 1 species